GAUGAACGCUGGCGGCGUGCUUAACACAUACAAGUCGAACGAUGAUGCCCAGCUUGCUGGGUGGAUUAGUGGCGAACGGGUGAGUAACACGUGAGUAACCUGCCCUUGACUCUGGGAUAAGCCUGGGAAACUGGGUCUAAUACCGGAUACGACCAUCUGGCGCAUGUCAUGGUGGUGGAAAGCUUUUGUGGUUUUGGAUGGACUCGCGGCCUAUCAGCUUGUUGGUGGGGUAAUGGCCUACCAAGGCGACGACGGGUAGCCGGCCUGAGAGGGUGACCGGCCACACUGGGACUGAGACACGGCCCAGACUCCUACGGGAGGCAGCAGUGGGGAAUAUUGCACAAUGGGCGCAAGCCUGAUGCAGCGACGCCGCGUGAGGGAUGACGGCCUUCGGGUUGUAAACCUCUUUCAGUAGGGAAGAAGCGAAAGUGACGGUACCUGCAGAAGAAGCGCCGGCUAACUACGUG
rnacentral:rRNA from 1 species